GAAAGAAUAUCGGAGACGGAUGGGCAUGCGGCGCAUUAGCUGGUUGGCGGGGUAACGGCCCACCAAGGCGACGAUGCGUAGGGGUUCUGAGAGGAAGGUCCCCCACACUGGUACUGAGACACGGACCAGACUCCUACGGGAGGCAGCAGUGAGGAAUAUUGGUCAAUGGGCGAGAGCCUGAACCAGCCAAGUCGCGUGGGGGAGUACUGCCCUAUGGGUUGUAAACCUCUUUUGUCGGGGAGCAAAAGCCGGACGUGUCCGGCUGUGAGAGUACCCGAAGAAAAAGCAUCGGCUAACUCCGUGCCAGCAGCCGCGGUAAUACGGAGGAUGCGAGCGUUAUCCGGAUUUAUUGGGUUUAAAGGGUGCGCAGGCGGAUUUUUAAGUCAGCGGUCAAAUCGUGGGGCUCAACCCCAUCCAGCCGUUGAAACUGGGGAUCUAGAGUGUGCGAGAGGUAUGCGGAAUGCGUGGUGUAGCGGUGAAAUGCAUAGAUAUCACGCAGAACCCCGAUUGCGAAGGCAGCAUACCGGUGCACAACUGACGCUCAGGCACGAAAGCGUGGGUAUCGAACAGGAUUAGAUACCCUGGUAGUCCACGCAGUAAACGAUGAAUGCUACCUGUUUGGCCAGAUUGAUGGCUGA
rnacentral:rRNA from 1 species